ensembl:processed_transcript Rian RNA imprinted and accumulated in nucleus
GAGAAUUUUACAAUCCUAAUAUACAGAAAGAGUAUAUACACUACAUAUACCAAACACAGUCGACCUAUGGGAAGUAAGAAUGCCCCAUUUUAUUAAAAUUAUAAUCAGUAAUCUUAGUGGAACUGUAAGCCAUGACAAUAUAUUUUAUUUUAAAAAAUGAACAGUUGUGUAACACAUUUAGAUCACAAACCACUCACCUUUGUUGACCUUGGAUCCUUUAUUUUUAAAAUUUUACUUUUUUCACAAGGUAUAGCCUGAUCAAGGUUUCUUCUCCUUCAUCUCCCCCCAAGUCCUCCUUCACACUCAUCUAGCGUUUCCCCUUCUUGCUCUGUCUCUUUAGAAAACAAAGACUCAAACAAUACCAAAACAGACAAACCAAAAUAGAGCCAAAUCAGCCANNNNNNNNNNNNNNNNNNNNNNNNNNNNNNNNNNNNNNNNNNNNNNNNNNNNNNNNNNNNNNNGUAUGUAUAUGUGUAUGUAUGUCUGUAUAUAUGUCAUACCUGAAUAAGAUUAAAGAAAAUGUCCAUGACACUAAAUCUUCCAAAUUUACCACUGAGUUCUUAGUGAGUUGUCCUUUGUUGAACAAUGAAAUAAAAGAUUGUGUGUAUAUUAGAGCCCCUUCACACCCUGUUUUCUUUUGUACCCUCAGAACAGAUGCCUUCCUCACUGGUCACCAGGUUCAAGGUCCCUCAUAUGUGUCAGGUGCAUAGUCACCAACGUAAGUCGAAGUUCUUGGUUUGAAUUCUUUCUUCUGUUUUUAUAAAGGCAUUUCCUAGAAUUUAAAGACCAUUGGUCUAGGGAGAAGUAUGCUGUGGCCAUGAAAUGCUUGGUUGACUAAUUAAUAUUAUUGAAAUUAAGUUUAAUUUAAGCAGACAUAAUAACCUUAGGCAAAGGAGCUAAAAUAUUUAUGUAAAUUAUAAUUAAAGAUGUUUUUCAUGAUUAAUAAUAAUCAGCUAAUAAACAAUAAUAAUGAAAGUUUAUCGGAGAAACCAGAGGCGGAGGUUGGAUCAGUGGUGACAUCUUGUUGGAGGUGAGCAGUGGAGCAGGAGAACAGGUCCGGAAGUCUGAGUCCCAUCCCUUACAGGCAUCUCCUGUGCUUUCCUCCGAGGUGUGCUCAAACAAGCAUGUUACCUUUCCGAUUGUGAAAGUGUGAAAAUUAUGUAAUGUGUACAUUAGAACAAAGCCGGUCAGCAGUGUUGAGCAUGAGACUCUUGCCAACUGAGACACAGUAAUAAUCCAGGAAACCAUGUGCAUUUAGAAAUAAAUAAGUACAAAUUACAAUAAAAGUUAAGCAAACAAUAACAAGAGAAAUGAAUUUCUUAAUGAUACUACUAGCUAAGGACAAUGCAUUUACCAAAAAUAAUGGCAAGUCCUUGUCUUGUUCAGGGCUUAAGCAUUUAUUAUUGCCUUGUCAAGUCAACAAACCUAAGAGAAUUUUGCUCCUGCCCAUGUGACUAAUAAAAUAGAAGGGGGAAUGAGAGAAUAAUUGGCUAUAAUACAAGUCUCCUUCUUGGUACUGUCAGCAUAGACGCUUUCGUUGUGAUAUUCACAUUAUGACUCCCCAGAACACAGAGACUCAUGUUAGAAUGCUCAAAUCCCCUGACUUAAUUUGGGAGGUUUUAAAAGCUUAAAGUAUCACGCAGAAUCUAUUAAAACCAACUACACUGAUUAGAAAUAAGCAUGGCCUUCCACCACUAAGCUCAUUAAAGCUUGCACAAUUGAGAACC